rnacentral:tRNA from 1 species
GGAAGCGUGGCUGAGCGGCCGAAAGCAGCGCACUGCUAAUGCGUUGAACCCGAAAGGGUUCCGAAGGUUCGAAUCCUUCCGCUUCCGCCA